AUUGAACGCUGGCGGCAUGCUUUACACAUGCAAGUCGAACGGUAACAGGCCGCAAGGUGCUGACGAGUGGCGAACGGGUGAGUAAUGCAUCGGAACGUGCCCAGUCGUGGGGGAUAACGCAGCGAAAGCUGUGCUAAUACCGCAUACGAUCUAUGGAUGAAAGCGGGGGACCGUAAGGCCUCGCGCGAUUGGAGCGGCCGAUGUCAGAUUAGCUAGUUGGUGGGGUAAAGGCCCACCAAGGCGACGAUCUGUAGCUGGUCUGAGAGGACGACCAGCCACACUGGGACUGGGAAACGGCCCAGACUCCUACGGGAGGCAGCAGUGGGGAAUUUUGGACAAUGGGCGCAAGCCUGAUCCAGCAAUGCCGCGUGCAGGAAGAAGGCCUUCGGGUUGUAAACUGCUUUUGUACGGAACGAAACGGCCUGGGUUAAUACCCUGGGCUAAUGACGGUACCGUAAGAAUAAGCACCGGCUAACUACGUGCCAGCCGCCGCGGUAAGAC
rnacentral:rRNA from 1 species